rnacentral:rRNA from 1 species
UGGGAACGUACCCUUUGGUUCGGAACAACCCAGGGAAACUUGGGCUAAUACCGGAUAAGUCCGUAAGGAGAAAGAUUUAUCGCCAAAAGAUCGGCCCGCGUCUGAUUAGCUAGUUGGUGAGGUAACGGCUCACCAAGGCGACGAUCAGUAGCUGGUCUGAGAGGAUGAUCAGCCACAUUGGGACUGAGACACGGCCCAAACUCCUACGGGAGGCAG